ACGAACGCUGGCGGCGUGCCUAACACAUGCAAGUCAAACGGUUUUGUAGCAAUACAGAGCAGUGGCGCACGGGUGAGUAAUGCAUGGGAAUUUUCCAAGUGGAGAGGGAUACCUACGGGAAGCUGUAGUUAAUACUUCGUAAGCAGGGCUCUAUAAAAAGAAUCCUGGAAACGUGGGGAUCGCAAGACCUACGGCCAUUUGAUAAGCUCAUGUCCCAUUAGCUAGUUGGCGGGGUAACAGCCCACCAAGGCGAUGAUGGGUAGCUGGUCUGAGAGGACGAUCAGCCACACUGGAACUGAGACACGGUCCAGACUCCUACGGGAGGCAGCAGUGGGGAAUAUUGCGCAAUGGACGAAAGUCUGACGCAGCAACGCCGCGUGAGUGAAGAAGGCCUUCGGGUUGUAAAGCU
rnacentral:rRNA from 1 species